rnacentral:rRNA from 1 species
UUGAAGAGUUUGAUCAUGGCUCAGAUUGAACGCUGGCGGCAGGCCUAACACAUGCAAGUCGAACGGUAACAGAAAGCAGCUUGCUGCUUUGCUGACGAGUGGCGGACGGGUGAGUAAUGUCUGGGAAACUGCCUGAUGGAGGGGGAUAACUACUGGAAACGGUAGCUAAUACCGCAUAAUGUCGCAAGACCAAAGAGGGGGACCUUCGGGCCUCUUGCCAUCGGAUGUGCCCAGAUGGGAUUAGCUUGUUGGUGGGGUAACGGCUCACCAAGGCGACGAUCCCUAGCUGGUCUGAGAGGAUGACCAGCCACACUGGAACUGAGACACGGUCCAGACUCCUACGGGAGGCAGCAGUGGGGAAUAUUGCACAAUGGGCGCAAGCCUGAUGCAGCCAUGCCGCGUGUAUGAAGAAGGCCUUCGGGUUGUAAAGUACUUUCAGCGGGGAGGAAGGGAGUAAAGUUAAUACCUUUGCUCAUUGACGUUACCCGCAGAAGAAGCACCGGCUAACUCCGUGCCAGCAGCCGCGGUAAUACGGAGGGUGCAAGCGUUAAUCGGAAUUACUGGGCGUAAAGCGCACGCAGGCGGUUUGUUAAGUCAGAUGUGAAAUCCCCGGGCUCAACCUGGGAACUGCAUCUGAUACUGGCAAGCUUGAGUCUCGUAGAGGGGGGUAGAAUUCCAGGUGUAGCGGUGAAAUGCGUAGAGAUCUGGAGGAAUACCGGUGGCGAAGGCGGCCCCCUGGACGAAGACUGACGCUCAGGUGCGAAAGCGUGGGGAGCAAACAGGAUUAGAUACCCUGGUAGUCCACGCCGUAAACGAUGUCGACUUGGAGGUUGUGCCCUUGAGGCGUGGCUUCCGGAGCUAACGCGUUAAGUCGACCGCCUGGGGAGUACGGCCGCAAGGUUAAAACUCAAAUGAAUUGACGGGGGCCCGCACAAGCGGUGGAGCAUGUGGUUUAAUUCGAUGCAACGCGAAGAACCUUACCUGGUCUUGACAUCCACGGAAGUUUUCAGAGAUGAGAAUGUGCCUUCGGGAACCGUGAGACAGGUGCUGCAUGGCUGUCGUCAGCUCGUGUUGUGAAAUGUUGGGUUAAGUCCCGCAACGAGCGCAACCCUUAUCCUUUGUUGCCAGCGGUCCGGCCGGGAACUCAAAGGAGACUGCCAGUGAUAAACUGGAGGAAGGUGGGGAUGACGUCAAGUCAUCAUGGCCCUUACGACCAGGGCUACACACGUGCUACAAUGGCGCAUACAAAGAGAAGCGACCUCGCGAGAGCAAGCGGACCUCAUAAAGUGCGUCGUAGUCCGGAUUGGAGUCUGCAACUCGACUCCAUGAAGUCGGAAUCGCUAGUAAUCGUGGAUCAGAAUGCCACGGUGAAUACGUUCCCGGGCCUUGUACACACCGCCCGUCACACCAUGGGAGUGGGUUGCAAAAGAAGUAGGUAGCUUAACCUUCGGGAGGGCGCUUACCACUUUGUGAUUCAUGACUGGGGUGAAGUCGUAACAAGGUAACCGUAGGGGAACCUGCGGUUGGAUCACCUCCUU